CCAAUAGCGUAUAUUAAAGUUGUUGCAGUUAAAAAGCUCGUAGUUGAAUUUCGGGAUCAAAUUGUCGGUCGUGCCUCGGUACGCACUGGUAUUAUUGGUUCCUACCUUCUGAAGAACCGCGAUGUCAUUAAUUUGGUGUCGUGGGGAAUCAGGACUGUUACUUUGAAAAAAUUAGAGUGUUUAAAGCAGGCUUACGCUUGAAUACAUUAGCAUGGAAUAAUGAAAUAGGACGUUUGAUUCUAUUUUGUUGGUUUCUAGGAUUGACGUAAUGAUUAAUAGGGAUAGUUGGGGGCAUUAGUAUUCAAUUGUCAGAGGUGAAAUUCUUGGAUUUAUUGAAGACUAACUACUGCGAAAGCAUUUGCCAAGGAUGUUUUCAUUAAUCAAGAACGAAAGUUAGAGGAUCGAAGACGAUCAGAUACCGUCGUAGUCUUAACCAUAAACUAUGCCGACUAGGGAUCGGAUGAUGUUAAUUUUUUAAUGACUCAUUCGGCGCCUUACA
rnacentral:rRNA from 1 species